rnacentral:lncRNA from 1 species
AAAGCAAGUGGACAAUUAUAAAUGUGGUUUGCUAUUUUUUCACUAUCUACGAAAUAAGGGUGAGUAGAUAGUUGGCUAGGUCUUGGGCAUCUUCCUAGAAAUAGGGAUGCCCAAUUGAGGUGUUAGGUGGUUUUAAUUGACACACUCGUUAGGUACUCGAAAGGGUCAAUGAGUGAUAUCCUUGAGGCUUUGUUGACAAACUGGCCUCCAGGACAUUCAACCUAGCCGACCAUAUUGUUAAUAACUAGAAUUUGUACCAAAUCAUCAUGCACCCAUGCAUAACUUGCUCUUAAGUAGACAUAAUCCCCAGGUCCUUCUCAUAUUGGAUUUUUAAUCGCAAUUGUCACCGUUAGUUGUUAAUUUGAAUAGACUUUGAUAGAAACACGUUCCAACCAAACCCCCAUUUUAAAUCAUGUAUCUUAUUUUGCCUUCACUACAAGUAUAUCUUUAGAUGCCAUUGCCACCCAUAAGUCUUGAAGACUAGUUUCGCUCCUCGUGGAUUCAACCUCCACAUAAGUUGAGCUAUGGACAACAAAGGUAUAGGUUAGCGUGAUCAGUCAUCUCUUAUUAAUUCUUCUAGUUUUAACGGAUGCAUAUAACCUGUUCAAAAUAUGACGCGAUCUUACUCAAUGCAUCUAUUGCAGUCCAAUGUCUAGAUAUCGUGACAGUUAAUUUUGAGGAUUUCUUCUUUGUUUGUAAUCGUAGGAGUUGUUCAAUCUUGUCUUCGUUGUCUUAAAGUCUAUCAAUUCUUGGAAUCACAAGGAAGAAGAUUAAUGGUCAGAAACUACGCAAAUAAACAAUGCAUGAGAUGAAGAUUUCCAAACACAGGUUCUUUUUCACCACACAUCUGCCUACUUUGCCUUCCCUGAGAUGAAGCAUGCCUUGCUGCACAUGGAACAUACAGCUCUAAUGGAACCCAAUAUUACAUGAGAAUAAGAACUCAGGAACAGAUUAAAAAAAAAAAAACAGUGAAUCAGUAAUUAAGAGGUUCUUGUAAACGAGAAAGUGAAGAGGUGAAAUAGGCUUAAUCAUUGUAGUGUUACGUUUUACUAAUUUUAGCUUCUCUGAUCAACACAAUAACAACAACAGCAACAUAUAUACCUAGUGAAAUCCCACAAAUGAGGGCUGGGAGGGUAAAGUGUACGCAGACCUUACCACUACCUUGGGGACAUAGGAAGGCUGUUUCUGGAAUACCCUCGGCUCAAAUGUAGCAAAUCCAGGUACAAAGCAUAGAGAGACAAUGAAGAACAUAAAGCAACUAGCAUGGGAACACUACUAAGUCUACUAGAAAUAAAUAAUAAUCAACCACAACUAGUGUGAUAAUCACAAUACAAUAAAAAACAACAUAUUAUAGGUAUAACUAGUGGACUAGUACACGAAAAACACCCAACAACCUAAACCCGCUAGAGCAAGACAACACUCCUACUCGACUAACCUUCUAAGCUAAUACGCGUUCUCCACAUCCUCCUAUCUAAAGUCAUGUCCUCGGUAAUCUCUGAUCAACAAAAGGUUGUUUUUAUUUACAGAAAAAAAAAGGAAUGUUAUCACUCCUAUCACUUUAUCCUGGCUUCAAUACUACAAAAGAAUAAAAGUUAGUUUGAUUCGUAUCGCACUAUUUUGGUUUUGUUUGAGUUCCUCUCUUGUAGACUUUGCAUUGCUUCCCUUGUUAGUUUUUAUGUUUGUCACACCCCUUUUUUAACUCCAAAAAUAUUCAUUUCAAGUUCGAAAGGGUUUUUAUUAUUAAGUGACAAAAGAAAGAUUGUUUCGAAAAGGAUUCAUUAUAUUCAAAACUCAGAGUCGCCACUUGGCAUAAUCGGUGUGCCAAGUCACCAUUGAAAAUCCUUUUUCGAAAAUGAUUUUGACUCUUUUAAACCUAUCUGCGAACAGAGAUUCCGGUUAAGGAAUUCUGUUGACCGAGGGGAAGGUUUUAGGCACCCCUCGAUCUCGUGGUUCGACCACGGUCGCUUGGUGAAGCAUAUCGGCUAAUUUGACAUUACAAAUGUAUAAACCACACAAGAGCACAUAAAACAAUCAAUCAAACACACGAAAUAAAACAAAUCCAAAAUAUAGUGUUCAAUCCCAUUAUACAGUCCAAAAAUAAAAAUGCGAAAAAUAAAUCCCAUUCUAACCUACACUAGUCCCAACUACGCUUCCGUACUUUACCUGAUGCCUCGGGCCUUGAUCACGAUCAUCUUCCGCCAACAUAAUACGUCGGGGCAUUCCCCGGUGAAUAAAUACAAUGAGCCUUGGGCAUUCCCCAACUAAAUGAAUACAUUUUAAUCAAAGUACGAUAAACUCAAAAACAUUCACCACACAUACAUUCAACUUUCAACAUUCAACGAUAUCACUAAACUUGCCUAUCCGAACCUAAACUUUACCUAUUAAGCUCUCGGCCUAAAAUAUGCUCCUAUUGAUUUCAACAACGCCAUCAAGUCAAACAACCAAUGAAUCAAAUUAACCAAAAUUCACCAAUCUUAUCAAUUUUCAUCCCUCCCAAAAUUCAUUUCUUAACCAAACGAUUAAUCAAUUUCAAAGUAACACCAACCAAUCAAAUCGUGACAAUUAAAGAAUGUCAAACACACUGUCAGGAUUAUAUCAUCAAUUAACACGAACCACGCAAAUCACAGCAUCAACACAUCAUGCUACGAUAAAAAUGGAAAAGAUAGAGUUGAAGAAUUAGACCUCAAAUUGACGCUUUGUUAAACGGAGAAAAAGCCUCAUGGAUUCGGAAACCACAAACUAGCAGAACCUCGACCCAAAUGAAACCUCAACUUCGCACAACCAACUUGUUAUAUCCAUUUUUGCUCUAUUUUUCGCCUACUCGAACCUAAAUUGCGAAGUGACAAAAGACCCGUAUUCGAAUGUGUAUGCCCCGUUACUGUGUCAAUCGUGUUCCAAUGAAUUUUGGGUUGUAAUCUGCAGCAUUUGUGGACUGGGGUUUUGUUUUUGUCUCACCAGACCUCGGACAAGGUUAGGCGAUGACAGAAAACCGAAAAAUGGGUUGGAUUUUCUGGUGAUAGUGGCGUUUGUGGCUGGAGUUUAUGGUUUUGGCCAGAAGUGGGGGUAGGAGGUAGCUGGUCGGUGUUUUCGACAGGUUUCGGUGAGGGCUCGCCGGAAAAGUCAAGAGAAACGGCUCUCCAUUCAACCCCCUACUUCCGAUCUCUCCUCGUGUUUUCUAACCUCUCUUAUCCUCCUCUCUCUCUCUUCAAUUCACUCUGUUUUUUCUACUCUCUACGAUUUCUCUAUAUCAGUGAAUCUGGUUUUUGGUGAGUGUCGUGGACAAGAAGAAAGGAAGCUCCCCCUUUCAUUAUGUUAACUGUCAAGAGGAAAAAGAAACCAUUUCUCCCCUCUAUGUUCUGUGGGGCCCCUUUUAAUCUUUUUCGGUGGGGGCCUCGUGAGUGGAAAAAAUGUAUAUUGUAUUCUUUUUUGAGUGAUGUCCACCUUUCCAGUGAAUGUAGUGCAUUCCAUUUUUAGACGGUAGGUGAUGGAAUAAUUCUAUGGACCCCACCUCUAUUUGUUGUCUUGUGAAUUGGUUUCAAAGUGAAUAAAAUGUGAGGGGUAAGGGUUACGUGGGUAGGUAGGGUGUUGGGGGUUGGGUAGUGUAGGUAGUGAGGUGAGGUGUUUCCAUUUGAAAUGGUAGGUUGUUGGUUUGUUAUUUUUUUUUUUUGUCUUUUUUGCGAAGGGAUUAUCGUACGGGGUAGGGUACGCAGUAGGAUAAGGUAAAAAUGGUUGAAAAUAAUAUCGGGGAGGGAUGAAAUUAGGUGUCUACAAUAUUUUCUUCACUAUUUCCUUCUUCUUUGCGCUUGAGUUGAGGGUCUUUUAAGAACAGUCUCUCUAUUUCGAAGAGGUAGUGGUAAGGUCUUCCCUGUACACUCUACCCUUCCAAGACCCCACUUGCAGAAUU